rnacentral:lncRNA from 1 species
GUUUUACGGAACCGAUAAAUGUGCUAAAAUUCUGUGCCACGCUUUUUGAACUUCGCAUUUAGAGAGAUAAAAUGAGUGAAGAGAUAAAUUAUGCACAAGCUAUUGAAAGCUUAUAUGAAAAAUUAAACACUAUGGAGAAUACAAUA